UAACAUUGGUGCUUGCACCAGAUGACGAGUGGCGCACGGGUGCGUAACGCGUAUGCAAUCUACCUUUUACUAGAGUAUAGCCCAGAGAAAUUUGGAUUAAUCCUCUAUAAUAUCUUUAAGUUUCAUGACUUUUAGAUUAAAGUUUUAACGGUAAAAGAUGAGCAUGCGUCCUAUUAGUUUGUAGGUGAGGUAACGGCUCACCUAGGCUACGAUAGGUAGGGGCCCUGAGAGGGGGAUCCCCCACACUGGUACUGAGACACGGACCAGACUCCUACGGGAGGCAGCAGUGAGGAAUAUUGGACAAUGGAGGCAACUCUGAUCCAGCCAUGCCGCGUGCAGGAAGACUGCCCUAUGGGUUGUAAACUGCUUUUAUACAGGAAGAAACACCUCUACGUGUAGAGGCUUGACGGUACUGUAAGAAUAAGGAUCGGCUAACUCCGUGCCAGCAGCCGCGGUAAUACGGAGGAUCCAAGCGUUAUCCGGAAUCAUUGGGUUUAAAGGGUCCGUAGGUGGAUAAUUAAGUCAGAGGUGAAAUCUUGCAGCUCAACUGUAAAAUUGCCUUUGAAACUGGUUAUCUUGAGUUAUUAUGAAGUAGUUAGAAUAUGUAGUGUAGCGGUGAAAUGCAUAGAUAUUACAUAGAAUACCAAUUGCGAAGGCAGAUUACUAAUAAUCAACUGACACUGAUGGACGAAAGCGUGGGUAGCGAACAGGAUUAGAUACCCUGGUAGUCCACGCCGUAAACGAUGGUUACUAGCUGUUUGGACUUCGGUCUGAGUGGCUAAGCGAAAGUGAUAAGUAACCCACCUGGGGAGUACGUUCGCAAGAAUGAAACUCAAAGGAAUUGACGGGGGCCCGCACAAGCGGUGGAGCAUGUGGUUUAAUUCGAUGAUACGCGAGGAACCUUACCAGGGCUUAAAUGUAGUCUGACAGGCUUGGAAACAUGCUUUUCUUCGGACAGAUUACAAGGUGCUGCAUGGUUGUCGUCAGCUCGUGCCGUGAGGUGUCAGGUUAAGUCCUAUAACGAGCGCAACCCCUGUUGUUAGUUGCCAGCGAGUCAUGUCGGGAACUCUAACAAGACUGCCAGUGCAAACUGUGAGGAAGGUGGGGAUGACGUCAAAUCAUCACGGCCCUUACGUCCUGGGCCACACACGUGCUACAAUGGUAGGUACAGAGAGCAGCCACUGCGCGAGCAGGAGCGAAUCUACAAAACCUAUCACAGUUCGGAUCGGAGUCUGCAACUCGACUCCGUGAAGCUGGAAUCGCUAGUAAUCGGAUAUCAGCCAUGAUCCGGUGAAUACGUUCCCGGGCCUUGUACACACCGCCCGUCAAGCCAUGGAAGCUGGGAGUGCCUGAAGUCGGUCACCGCAAGGAGCCGCCUAGGGUAAAACUGGUAACUAGGGCUAAGUCGUAACAAGGUAGCCGUACCGGAAGGUGCGGCUG
rnacentral:rRNA from 1 species